ensembl:lncRNA
UUUAAAUACAUUUAUUACCAGUAAUGCUAUCAGUGCAUUUUCUUAAAAUGAAGUACUGAAGAAAUGAGUGAAAUAAAAUAAAAAUUCGUAUACCUAAGGCUCUAUUUCACAACCUGUAAUAAUAUCCUCAGCUGAGUGCUUGUAAUAGCGAUUGCUGAAAGUUACUCAACACCCCUUCAAGUAGUGAAGCAGACGAUUUGGGGGAAGAUGGAUGGAAAGGGUCUUCAGAAAGGAAUACGGCCCCGCUGGCAUCUUCAUUUUGGACCAGUGAGACCAUUUCAAGUUUCUGACCUCCAGAAUGGAGAAGCAACUUAUGAAACGUGUCUGGAACACGCUCAUCUAUGAAAUGGAAAUUCCCUGAAUUGUCCCUUGAACAGAGUGCCAGACAUCCUUGAGUGUGAACUCAAGGAUAACCAUGAACAAAGCUAGUGGAAGUGAUGGAAUUCAAGCUGAGCUCUUUCAAAUCCUAUAAGAUGAUGCUGUGAAAGUACUGCACUCAGUAUGCCAGCAAAUUUGGAAAACUCAGCAGUGGCCACAGGACUGGAAAUGAUCAGUUUUCAUUCCAAUCCCAAAGAAAGGCAAUGCCACAGAAUGCUCAGACUAUCACACAAUUGCACUCAUCUCACACGCUAGCAAAGUAAUGCUCAAUCAAAAUUCUCCAAGCCAGGCUUCAACAGUACAUGAACUGUGAACUUUCAGAUAUUCAAGCUGGAUUUAGAAAAGGCAGAGGAACCAGAGAUCAAACUGCCAACAUCCGCUGAAUCAUCAAAAAAGAAAGAGAGUUCCAGGAAAACAUCUACUUCUGCUUUAUUGACUAUGCCAAAGCCUUUGACUGUGUUGAUCACAACAAACUGUGGAAAAUUCUUAAAGCUGUGGGAAUACCAGACCACCUGACCUGCCUCUGGAGAAAUCUGUAUGCAGGUCAAGAAGCAACAGUUAGAAAUGGACAUGGAACAAUGGUCUGGUUCCAAAUUGGGAAAUGAGUUUGUUAAGACUGUAUAUGGUCACCCUGUUUAUUUCACUUAUAUGCAGAGUACAUCAUGCAGAAUGCCAGGCUGGAGGAGGAAGCACAAGCUGGAAUCAAGAUCGCCAGGAGAAAUUUCAAUAACCUCAGAUAUGCAGAUGACACCAUAUUUAAGGCAGAAAGAGAAGAGGAACUAAAGAGCCUCUUAAUGAAAGUGAAAGAGGAGAGUGAAAAAGUUGGCUUAAAACUCAACAUUCAAAAAACAAAGAUCAUGGCAUCCAGUCCCAUCACUCAUGGCAAAUAGGUGGGGAAACAAUGGAAACAGUGUAGACUUUAUUUUCUUGGGCUCCCAAAUCACUGCAGAUGGUGACUGCAGCCAUGAAAUUCCCCAGUGGCUCAGAUGGUAAAGCAUCUGCCUACGAUGCAGGAGACCCAGGUUCGAUCCCUGGGUCAGGAAGAUCCUCUGGAGAAGGAAAUGGCAACCCACUUUAGUAUUCUUGCCUGGAAAAUCCCAUGGAUGGAGGAGCCUGGUAGUCUACAGUCCAUGGGGUCGCAAAGAACUGGACAUGACUGAGCCACUUCACUUGCUUCUUGAAAGAAAACUAUGACCAACCUAGAGAGCAUAUUAGAAAGCAGAGACAUUACUUUGCUGACCAAGAUCCGUUUAGUCAAAGCUAUGAUUUCUCCAGUAGCCAUGUAUGGAUGUGAGAGUUGGACCAUAAACAAAGCUGAGCACUGAAGAAUUGAUGCUUUUGAACUGUGGUGCCGAGGAAGACUCUUGAGAGUCCUUGGACUGCAAGGAGACCCAACCAGUCCAUCCUAAAAGAAAUCAGUCCUGAAUAUUCAUUGGAAGGACUGAUGCUGAAGCUGAAGUUCCAAUACUUUGGCCACCUGAUGCAAAGAACUUACUCAUUUGAAAAGACCUUGAUGCUGGGAAAGAUUGAAAGCAGGAGGCAAAGAGGACGACAGAGGAUAAGAUGGUUGGAUGGCAUCACCAACUCCAUGGACAUGAGUUUGAGCAUGCUCCAGGACUUAGUGAUGAACAGGGAAGCUUGACCUGCUGCAGUCCAUGGGGUUGCAAAUAGUUGGACACGGCUAAGUGACUGAACUGUGCUAAGCUGUCCUGUGAACAAUAGAGGUUUGAACUUCAAGGGUCUACUUAUGCAUUUUUUUCAAUACAUAUUACUUAACCACACUAUCUGUGAUUCAUUGAAUCUGCAGAUAUAAAGGAAAUUUGGGUACAGAGAACCCAAGUAUAUGGAGGGCCCAGUAACCCUAAUGUUUGCUCAAAGUUCAAUUGUAUCAUUAAUCUUUUGUAAUUUGCUUAAUUAUGGACUUGUGUCAAAUGUCCAGUUUUUUAAUUUCAAUAUUUUAACAAUUUUUGAACAGCUAUAUACAUGCCAGAUGUCAG